rnacentral:tRNA from 1 species
GGGCCCUUAGCUCAAUGGUUAGAGCAGGGGACUCAUAAUCCCUUGGUUGUGGGUUCGAAUCCCACAGGGCCCACCA